rnacentral:rRNA from 1 species
GACGAACGCUGGCGGCGUGCUUAACACAUGCAAGUCGAACGGUAAGGCCCUUCGGGGUACACGAGUGGCGAACGGGUGAGUAACACGUGGGUGAUCUGCCCUGCACUUCGGGAUAAGCCUGGGAAACUGGGUCUAAUACCGGAUAGGACCACUGCCUGCAUGGGUGGUGGUGGAAAGCUUUUGCGGUGUGGGAUGGGCCCGCGGCCUAUCAGCUUGUUGGUGGGGUGAUGGCCUACCAAGGCGACGACGGGUAGCCGGCCUGAGAGGGUGACCGGCCACACUGGGACUGAGAUACGGCCCAGACUCCUACGGGAGGCAGCAGUGGGGAAUAUUGCACAAUGGGCGCAAACCUGAUGCAGCGACGCCGCGUGAGGGAUGACGGCCUUCGGGUUGUAACCUCUUUCAGCACCGACGAAGCGCAAGUGACGGUAGGUGCAGAAGGAGGACCGGCCAACUACGUGCCAGCAGCCGCCGUAA